rnacentral:rRNA from 1 species
GACGAACGCUGGCGGCGUGCUUAACACAUGCAAGUCGAACGGAAAGGCCCUGCUUUUGUGGGGUGCUCGAGUGGCGAACGGGUGAGUAACACGUGAGUAACCUGCCCUUGACUUUGGGAUAACUUCAGGAAACUGGGGCUAAUACCGGAUAGGAGCUCCUGCUGCAUGGUGGGGGUUGGAAAGUUUCGGCGGUUGGGGAUGGACUCGCGGCUUAUCAGCUUGUUGGUGGGGUAGUGGCUUACCAAGGCUUUGACGGGUAGCCGGCCUGAGAGGGUGACCGGCAAAAUUGGGACUGAGAUACGGCCCAGACUCCUACGGGGGGAAGCAGUGGGAAUAUUGCACAAUGGGCGGAAGCCUGAUGCAGCAACGCCGCGUGCGGGAUGACGGCCUUCGGGUUGUAAACCGCUUUCGCCUGUGACGAAGCGUGAGUGACGGUAAUGGGUAAAGAAGCACCGGCUAACUACGUG